UAAAUUGCUGCACCAGUCCACACUUGACCGGUGGGGAUCUCAUUCUAUUAUGACUGUAACUGUUAGCUGCUCCUGGCAUUCUCUAAUCCCUGCUCUCCUCUCUCUGUCCCCCCCCACACACAUCCCUUGUGGUGUGGGGGGUUUGAGUUGUCAGCACCUGCCUGGUCGUCGGUCAGCCAACGCUGGACCUGGUCGCGAGUCUCCCGGUCCUGUCCUACAUCUAUAAAGUUGAAUAAUGGAUUUUGGUGUUUUAAAAACCCAUCGACACUGUAUGACUAUGUUUAGCCUGUGUUCUGCUCCUCUCUCCCACCAACCGUCUCUGGAGGAGGGGAUCCCUCUCUGAAUUGCUCCUCCCAAGUUCUUCUCCGAGCUGGAUAUCCACUCUGAAAACCUGAUGAAGGCAUAUGCCAAGAAAGGUGGAGUUCAAGGGAGAAAAAUCAAGACCAUCAAGGCACCCAUAACCCAGGUCUCUGUGUGUACUUGAAUGAAGAUCCGGAGAAGCUGGUGAAGGAAUACCUGGACGUCAAUGAAAGCACUGUGGCUAAGGCAGAGACUGUCUUCGGAAUCGUCGUAAUUCGACGAGAAGGUGCAGAGCCCAGCGAUGACCCAGAGGAUGUUGGGAUUGUCCUGGAAGGGGUGGAAG